GUCGUCACCGCGGCCUCACACCUGCAGCCUCCGUCCUGAUGGUGACCUCCACCUCCUGCCGCCAUGUUCCCUCCAGACAAACGACUCAGCGUCGUGUGGUUUACUUUGUUUCGGCUCCUUCUUCCUUCCAUCAGCCGCCGCUCGCACUGGGAACACUGGGCGGUGCUAACGUGCUGCUUCGUGCUGUGUUUAGAGUUCACUUCACACAGAAACACCCAGCGUUGGAGGAGGUAGCUUCACGUCAAAGAGGUGAAAUGAAAAGUCGGUAAGAAAGAUUGAAGAGGCUGUGAGGAUGAAAAGGAAAAUGUUGUGAUGGACAAGGCAAGAAGGAUGAGGAUGAGGAUGUCAUUAUGAUUCCACUUAACGGUCAUCAGAUACAAUUUGUAAAUAUUCCGAUAAUUUUUGCAUCAGUUAUCCUCUCGGAGGCCCGAAAAUCUUCUCUUAAUUCCAGCAAAGAGCCACUGGAGGGCGCUGCAGACCAUAUUUUUGACUAGAACUUCAUGACAUUGUUUUGAAGUGACCUUAGUCAAGAAAAGCUAAAACAGGUGCAUCUCAAAAGAAAUAUAUAACGAAAAAGUUGAUUUUAUUUUGUUUCGUAAUUUAAUUUAAAAAAUGGAACUUUAAUAUAUUGCAGAUUCAUUACAGAUAGAGUAAAAAUAUUUCGAGCCUUUUUUUGUUUUGAUGAUUACAGCUCAUGAAAAUCAAAAUCCAGUACCUCCACAUUUUUGAAUAUUUCCUUAGAUCAAUCAUAAAAGGGCUGUAGGCAAUUUAUUUUAUUGAGAUGUAAUGAAUCUAAGAUGUUACAUUUUCACAAUAUAAUUUUUUAAAGAUGCACCUGUAAAUAUUAGUUUCACUGCCACAUGUCACACGAGCGGUCAAGUCUUUUAUACCAAUAACGGAGUUUAAAAGAUCUGAUGCUACAUCGGCCAAUAUCAAUGUUUGACACGAACACUUAACGGAAGCUAACAUUUUUAUAAGGCUCUUCUUGGACAAGAUACAGAACCCCUUAUUGCUAUCAUGACAGAAACAACAUAGCAGACAGUAGCAGAGUAUGAAUGUGUGUAAUGUGACUUGUACUGUAAAGCACUAUGUACUGGUCAGGACGUUUCACAAUUGAAAAAUAGGAGCAUCGGUGCCCUCUGGUGGACAAAAUAUGUAGCUCCAUUAUUGCUUCCUUAUCUUUUCUUUAAUUAUCUGCAGGAAUAUGAACCAAUCGUCAAAUAAAUGCUUGAAUGACAUUUUUUU